UGUGGAAAUGAUGAUCUAAGGGAUCUGAUAUUGUCUGAAGUAAAGAUGCCAUCCAUUUCCUGAUUCACA